rfam:Mesocricetus auratus contig023762, whole genome shotgun sequence.
CCAAAGGCUCUUUUAAGAGCCACUUCCAUAAUUUUUAAAAUGGCA